rnacentral:snRNA from 1 species
GUGCUCACUUCAGCAGCACAUAUACUAAAAUUGGAAUGAUGCAGAGAUUAUUAGCAUGGCCCCUGCGCAAGGAUGACAUGCAAAUUCAUGAAGCGUUCCAUAUUUUU